GACGAACGCUGGCGGCGUGCUUAACACAUGCAAGUCGAACGGGCCCGCCCCUGUUUUUGGGGGUGGGUUGAGUGGGGAACGGGUGAGUAUCACGUGAGUAACCUGCCCCCUGCUCCUGGAUAACUGCUUGAAAGGGCGGCUAAUACGGGGUGUGCCGGCUGGUCCGCAUGGGCCUGGUCGGGAUAGUUUCAUCUUCGGGUGUUUCGGUGGGGGAUGGGCUCGCGGCCUAUCAGCUUGUUGGUGGGGUGAUGGCCCACCAAGGCGGUGACGGGUAGCCGGCCUGGGGUGGUGGGCCACCCCACAGGGACUGGGCCCCCGACCAGCCUGCGGCGGGGCGCAGCCGUGGGGGGUCUGGCACCACGGGCGGAAGGCUGAUGCAGCGACGUCGCGUGAGGGAUGGAGUCCUUCCGGUUGGGAACCUCUUUCUCCGGUGGUGAAGGCCCUGUCCGUUGCGGCGGGGUUGACGGUAGCCGGGUAUGAAGCGCCGGCUAACUACGUG
rnacentral:rRNA from 1 species